GGAGAUGUGGCUCGGUGGUAGAGUGCUCACUUAGCAUGUCCAAGGUUCUGGGUUCAAUCCCCAGCACCACCA
rnacentral:tRNA from 1 species